GCAGCCGCGGUAAUACGUAUGGGGCGAGCGUUAUCCGGAUUCAUUGGGCGUAAAGCGCGCGUAGGCGGCUCUGCAAGCGGGCGUCUCAAACCCGGGGGCUCAACCCUCGGUCGGACCCCGAACUGCAGGGCUCGAGUCCGGUAGGGGUGGCCGGAAUUCCCAGUGUAGCGGUGAAAUGCGCAGAUAUUGGGAAGAACACCGAUGGCGAAGGCAGGCCACUGGGCCGCGACUGACGCUGAGGCGCGAAAGCCGGGGGAGCGAACAGGAUUAGAUACCCC
rnacentral:rRNA from 1 species